rnacentral:tRNA from 1 species
CGGGGCGUGGCUCAGCCUGGUAGAGCGCCUGCUUUGGGAGCAGGAUGUCGCAAGUUCGAAUCUUGUCGCCCCGA